GCGGACGGGUGAGUAACACGUGGAUAACCUACCUAUAAGACUGGGAUAACUUCGGGAAACCGGAGCUAAUACCGGAUAAUAUAUUGAACCGCAUGGUUCAAUAGUGAAAGACGGUUUUGCUGUCACUUAUAGAUGGAUCCGCGCCGCAUUAGCUAGUUGGUAAGGUAACGGCUUACCAAGGCAACGAUGCGUAGCCGACCUGAGAGGGUGAUCGGCCACACUGGAACUGAGACACGGUCCAGACUCCUACGGGAGGCAGCAGUAGGGAAUCUUCCGCAAUGGGCGAAAGCCUGACGGAGCAACGCCGCGUGAGUGAUGAAGGUCUUCGGAUCGUAAAACUCUGUUAUUAGGGAAGAACAAAUGUGUAAGUAACUAUGCACGUCUUGACGGUACCUAAUCAGAAAGCCACGGCUAACUACGUGCCAGCAGCCGCGGUAAUACGUAGGUGGCAAGCGUUAUCCGGAAUUAUUGGGCGUAAAGCGCGCGUAGGCGGUUUUUUAAGUCUGAUGUGAAAGCCCACGGCUCAACCG
rnacentral:rRNA from 1 species